GUCUGUAUAUCUAAGUAUUAAGUGCUGGGUUCUUACCUCAGUGAUGUGUUUUCACUAUAGAUA
rnacentral:tRNA from 1 species